rnacentral:rRNA from 1 species
UACGUAGGUGACAAGCGUUGUCCGGAUUUACUGGGCGUAAAGAGCGCGCAGGCGGUCGCUCAAGUCGAGUGUGAAAGCCCCCGGCUCAACUGGGGAGGGUCAUUCGAUACUGAUCGACUCGAAGGCAGGAGAGGGUAGUGGAAUUCCCGGUGUAGUGGUGAAAUGCUUAGAUAUUCGGAAGAACACCAGUGGCGAAGGCGGCUCACGGGACUGGUAUUGACGCUGAGGUGCGAAAGCGUGGGGAGCAAACAGG